rnacentral:misc_RNA from 1 species
CCUCCUUUCUAAGGAAACCAAUAAAAUCAAGUCAUCUUCAGUUUUGAAAGACUUAGGCAACUAAGUUUUUCUUCGUGACUUACACGAAGGGCCUAUAGCUCAGUUGGUUAGAGCACACGCCUGAUAAGCGUGUAGGUCGGUGGUUCAAGUCCAUUUAGGCCCACCAGAGUUAUAGGUUUCGUACAGAACACAAAUUCUUUGAAAAUUAGGUAAAUAAUAGUUAUUUAUCCGGAAACAUUAAAGGAA